CCUACGGGAGGCAGCAGUGAGGAAUAUUGGUCAAUGGGCUUACGCCUGAACCAGCCAAGUCGCGUGAGGGAAGACUGCCCUAUGGGUUGUAAACCUCUUUUGUCAGGGAGCAACGCCGGCCACGCGUAGCCGGACUGAGAGUACCUGAAGAAAAAGCAUCGGCUAACCCCGUGCCAGCAGCCGCGGUAAUACGGAGGAUGCGAGCGUUAUCCGGAUUUAUUGGGUUUAAAGGGUGCGUAGGCGGAAUGCCAAGUCAGCGGUAAAAUGGAGGGGCUCAACCUCGCUCCGCCGUUGAAACUGGGGUUCUUGAGUGAGCGAGAAGUAUGCGGAAUGCGUGGUGUAGCGGUGAAAUGCAUAGAUAUCACGCAGAACUCCGAUUGCGAAGGCAGCAUACCGGCGCCCAACUGACGCUGAAGCACGAAAGCGUGGGUAUCGAACAGGAUUAGAUACCCGAGUAGUC
rnacentral:rRNA from 1 species